rnacentral:rRNA from 1 species
AGUCGAACGCUCCCUUCGGGGAGAGUGGCAGACGGGUGAGUAACGCGUGGGAAUCUACCCAUCUCUACGGAAUAACUUCAGGAAACCGGAGCUAAUACCGUAUACGCCCUUCGGGGGAAAGAUUUAUCGGAGUUGGAUGAGCCCGCGUUAGAUUAGCUUGUUGGUGAGGUAAAAGCUCACCAAGGCGACGAUCUAUAGCUGGUCUGAGAGGAUGAUCAGCCACACUGGAACUGAGACACGGUCCAGACUCCUACGGGAGGCAGCAGUGGGGAAUAUUGCACAAUGGGCGCAAGCCUGAUGCAGCCAUGCCGCGUGAGUGAUGAAGGCCUUAGGGUUGUAAAACUCUUUCAUCGGUGAAGAUAAUGACGGUAGCCGAAGAAGAAGUCCCGGCUAACUCCGUGCCAGCAGCCGCGGUAAUACGGAGGGGACUAGCGUUGUUCGGAAUUACUGGGCGUAAAGCGCGCGUAGGCGGACUGGUCAGUUGGGGGUGAAAUCCCGAGGCUUAACCUCGGAACUGCCUUCAAUACUGCCAGUCUUGAGUUCGGAAGAGGUGAGUGGAAUUCCUAGUGUAGAGGUGAAAUUCAUAGAUAUUAGGAAGAACCCCAGUGGCGAAGGCGGCUCACUGGUCCGAUACUGACGCUGAGGUGCGAAAGCGUGGGGAGCGAACAGGAUUAGAUACCCUGGUAGUCCACGCCGUAAACGAUGGAUGCUAGCCGUCGGACAGUAUACUGUUCGGUGGCGCAGUUAACGCAUUAAGCAUCCCGCCUGGGGAGUACGGUCGCAAGAUUAAAACUCAAAGGAAUUGACGGGGGCCCGCACAAGCGGUGGAGCAUGUUGGUUUAUUUCGAGCAACGCGAAGAACCUUACCAGCCCUUGACAAUCCGGUCGCGAAUAGUGGAGACACUUUUCUUCAGUUCGGCUGGACCGG